CCUACGGGAGGCAGCAGUCGAGAAUCUUCGGCAAUGGGCGCAAGCCUGACCGAGCGACGCCGCGUGCGGGAUGAAGGCCUUCGGGUUGUAAACCGCUGUCAGUGCGGAGGAAAUAUGGAGGGGUUCUCCCCUUUAUUUGCCCUAUGCGCAGAGGAAGGACGGGCUAAGUUCGUGCCAGCAGCCGCGGUAAGACGAACCGUCCAAACGUUAUUCGGAAUCACUGGCCUUAACGGGUGCGUAGGCUGGGUGUGAAAGACCUCGGCCUAACCGAGGAAUUGCGCACAAAACUGCCGGACUCGAGCAAGGCAGAGGUGAACGGAACUUAGGGUGGAGCGGUGAAAUGCGUUGAUAUCCUAAGGAACACCAGUAGCGAAAGCGGUUCACUGGGCCUUUUCUGACGCUGAUGCACGAAAGCCAGGGGAGCGAACGGGAUUAGAUACCCCAGUAGUC
rnacentral:rRNA from 1 species